UGUUUUUUUUGAAAGAUUUCCAUAAUGAAAGGUUUAAUUUCUAAAGAUUCUGUUGCAACAGAGGACAAAAUUGUAAAUUCUUUAUUGCAGCCACUUGGUGGCAUUAUUUCCAGUCGUAUAUCUCAUAAAACAGAAGUCUUGCCAGACUAACAGAUUAACAGUGAAGAUGCUUAGGAUUCAUCCUGUAUAAAUUCAAAUGACUGCUAUGAAAUCAGCAAAAUUUAAAGUCAAGUAUACUGUCUGCAUCAGUCCAACUACUUGUCCUUAAACAGCUAUCGCAAUUAGUAUUGCAAAGUAAUUAGGAAAAAACAUAACAAAAUGUACUGCAGAUGAUUUUAUUUAUUUAUGUGUUUGUUUGUUUGUUUUAUUUAUUUAUUUUUGCAGUGGCAAAAAAGAAAUGACAGACAAUUUCCUCAGAUUUCAUUUGUAGGAAAUCCUUUGGGUGGAGCUUGAUGAGAAUGGGUACAGCAGAAGUUAGACCUGUCCUCAUCUUGUAUAUGAUCUCCUACAGUCAUAAUGAUUUUGUUUUACCUUAAUGUUUUGUCACUUCUAACAGAGACUGUUUUUGCGAAUGCAAUAACACCCCUCUUUACUGAAAAGCAUGCUUUUGAAGGAGAAAAGGCGACUGUUUCAUGCAACUACAGUGGAAGUAACAUACAGAGUUGGCAGUGGUACAGACAGUAUCCCAACACUGCCCCUGAAUUUCUCUUGCAAGCUUUGGAAAGAGGAAAAGCGACUCUUUCAUGCAACUAUAGUGGAAGUAGCAUACAGAAUUGGCAGUGGUACAGACAGUAUCCCAACACUGCCCCUGAAUUUCUCUUGCAAGCUUUUGAAAGUUUGGGUCCAGCGCAGAAGGACCGUCAUGUUGCUGAAGCUCAAAAGGACAAAAAACAUCUGAACCUGGAGAUCUCCAAAACUGAGGUGGCAGAUACUGCAAUAUACUACUGUGCCCUGGUGCCCACAGUAACAGGAAACCAUUCAACACUGUACAAAAACCUGAGAUGAGGAGGAAUUAAUUUUAUUUACAUCUUUAGCUAAUUUUCUAAAACUUUUAAUGAUAUCCCAAAUAAUAUUCUUCUAACGUCAAAGUGUUCAUCACACAGAGACAGUAUUUAUCAGAUAAAAUGAAGAUUUAGAGGGCGGAGCUCUCUUACUAAGAUGGUGAUUCAAAGUCUCUCUACUUUCACUGACUUUGUCAUCGGUCCUUUUCUGAAGAUCAUCCAUCAUGUUUCUCUUUUGUUGGACACUUUCAUUAUUCUUCGAUAUUUCUUUUGCGAACACAAUACAACCAUUAUCCUCUGAAAAGCAUGUUUUCAGAGGUGAAAACGUGAUUCUUUCUUGUAACUACAGUGGCAACGUAGAAAAUCUGCAGUGGUAUCGUCAAUAUCCUGGAUCUCGACCAGAGCACCUCAUUCUUGUCACUGAAUAUUCAGAACCUGAUCUUUCACGUCGUCUGUCAGCAAAAGCCACAAAAGACCUAAAACAAGUGAAUCUUACAAUCUCCUCUGCUGAAGAAACAGAUUCUGCCAUGUACUACUGCGCCCUGCAGCCCACAGUGACAGGAAACCUGAAAACACUGUAC